GGCGGACUAACCCGUCCACGUCUUUCUCUGGACACACGGCGUUGGUGAUAAGUUCAGAGUCGAUGGAGGUCACGGAGUCCAGGGGAAGCUGGACUAUCAGACCAUGGACAGACGGGUUCUCAUUGAUGGACAGGAUGUGCUGCAGGACCUGCAGGACCAAAGGGAGUCACCAGGUGGAGUUGUACAGGUGGAGGUAAACAUAUGGAGGUUAACAGGUGGAGGUUAACAGGUGGAGGUUAACGGGUGGAGGUUAACGGGUGGAGGUCCACAUGUGGAGGUUCACGGGUGGAGGUUAACGGCUGGAGGUUAACGGGUGGAGGUUCACAGGUGGAGGUUAACAGGUGGAGGUUCACAGGUGGAGGUUAACAGGUGGAGGUUAAUAGCUGGAGGUUAACAGCUGGAGGUUCACGGGUGGAGGUUCACAGGUGGAGGUUAACAGCUGGAGGUUAACAGCUGGAGGUUCACGGGUGGAGGUUCACAGGUGGAGGUUAACAGCUGGAGGUUCACGGGUGGAGGUUAACGGCUGGAGGCUAACGGGUGGAGGUUCACAGGUGGAGGUUAACAGGUGGAGGUUCACGGGUGGAGGAGUGUCACUGACCUCUUCCUGCGUUGUGGUUUUCGGUAAUCUCAGAUGUUUCGCUUCGAUUCCAAUCUGCAGAUGAGAAAAGAGUUAAUUGAAAA
ensembl:lncRNA